UCUUUUGUCCGUUCUUUUUUUUUUUGUUUCAUCUCCCUUUCAAACGUCUUCUUUUGUCCAUUUUCACUUUUUGUUUCACCUCCCUUACACACAACGAAAAGUGAGACUGUCAAACCGACUCCAACAACAACAACAACAAUUCGAU
rnacentral:ribozyme from 1 species